rnacentral:rRNA from 1 species
ACGCUCGACACCUACGGGAGGCAGCAGUGGGGAAUAUUGCACAAUGGGGGAAACCCUGAUGCAGCGACGCCGCGUGAGCGAAGAAGUAUUUCGGUAUGUAAAGCUCUAUCAGCAGGGAAGAAACUGACGGUACCUGACUAAGAAGCACCGGCUAAAUACGUGUCAGCAGCCGCGUAAUACUGAGCGGGCGUGGCGAAGGACG